UUUCUACUCCCUCCGUCCGAAAAUACUUGUCAUCAAAAUGGAUAAAAAGAGAUGUAUCUAAAACUAAAAUAUGUCUAGAUACAUUUCCUUUUAUCCAUUUUGAUGAGACGGAGGGAGUAUUUG
rfam:Triticum aestivum genome assembly, contig: Triticum_aestivum_CS42_TGACv1_scaffold_592879_7BS